rnacentral:tRNA from 1 species
GGGGAUGUAGCUCAAUGGUAAAGCAUUUAUCUCACAUGCAAGAAGUCUUGGGUUUGACCCCAGUAGCCCUA